CUGAAUGUUACCAAACAUAAACCCUUGUGAACCUUCUGUAUUUCUGCCUUGGCAGGUAAUCCCAGGGCGGGAUUCUGGGCCUCUUCGGGGGCACCUGCCAGCGGUGGAACAUUUUCAUACUCUGAAUUACAGUGGACUUCUGAGUGUCUUCCAAAAAUAAAUUA
rnacentral:misc_RNA from 1 species